CUUAUGUAAAACAAUCCUUAUCCUACCUUAUCUAUUCCUUCUCUUGGAUUUUGAAAGAGAUCAGAGAAGUGAUUUGUUUACAGUCUUUGUAAAUGAACCAGGGCAUUUACAUUGGAAGUGCUGAUAAUGUGCAGUGGCAGAAGAGAAGUGGAAACCAGAUUACGUGACGAGCGUUGCUUUAUUUCCAUACAUUCUGAUUAGUGUGGAUGUAACAUCCCAAUAAAUAUGCAAAGUUUGCGUACAGAUGGAAUAACAUCCAACAAGGAUUCCUUUCUUUUUGGAGUUUUGUACAAAAGCAGCAAUUCUGCUUGUAAUGCAAGCUGCCCUUUAAGUGCCUUGUGUACGUGUGCUUGUGUAUAUAUGCGUGUUUUGAAAACAAGUUGCAGUGAAUCAUUUUGGAAGAGCUUCACAGACACAUGUUGGCAGCCCCUAGAACCACAGCCUCAUGGAAAAAUCCAUUGCCGGCAGGCAGGUAGAGAAGGCAAUUGUUUUCUCACUUGUGUAAAUCAGUUUGUUUUUUUUUUUUCAUUCACUCUAUGUUCCUAACCUGUUGUGUCUGUUUCUGUGUUCCCGUCAGUAUACUGAGGGCUGAUGUUGUUCUUCCAUCAACAGACUUGAAAACAUAGAUCCAGAAGCGCUGCUGGUUUGGCCGUUCUCCGUAUUGCAGCCAUGAAGAGUGAGGGACUGGUUGGCAGAUCCUCCAUGGGGUGACAGCUUUCACUUGCAAGAACAUUCAGGUUGGAUAUUAGGAAAGGUUUCUUCUCCAGAAGAGUGGUGAGGUAUUGGAACAGGAUGUCCAAGGUGGUGAUGGAAUCAGCAUCCCUGGAAGUGUUCAGGAAAAGGGCAGACGUUGUAUUGACAUGGUUAGUGGGUGUGGUGGGGACGGUUGGACUUGGUGAUCUUAGUGGUCUUUUACUGCCUGAAGGAUUCUGUGAUUCUAUGAACUUCUACCACUGUAGAGACCAGAAUUCCAGAAUUGGACUCCAGGAACCCCGUGGGAUUCUUUUGUACCAGGAUACCUGUGGGGAUAAAUCCUCCAUCAUCUGACUCACCCCAGCCACCUCUGGCCAUGAGAUCAUGCUUUGUCCAGUCUCUAAAGCUACACUCUAGAGCCUAUAGCAUCAUUCCCUGCUCCCUUUGAAUUGUGUAUCCUAACUUUCAGUUUUGGAGGACAUACCAGAGGUUAUACUGGGCUGUGAGGGACAAGAGAGCAUGUCUCACUCCUACAGUUGACUGAAGGAUUUGCAAAAGCUUAAGAUACUGAUAUGAAAGAUGGAUUGCAGGUCUAUUAGCUCAAGCACAGCAUGGGAUCGCUCUGUUCAUGGAUCUGGGAUUGCCACAAGUUUCUGAAAGCAGGGAUUUGAGAAUUUGUCUGUUACAAGGCAGGGUCAAGGUAAGGACAAAUGCUAGCCACUUUCAGUUGGUGAAGAUGGAUAGAAUUGCUGGAAGGAAAAAAAAUAAUCAAGAGCCAAUCCCAGGUAACAACACCUUACUUUCCAAGCACAGGAAAUUAAGCAGAGAGCUUAAUUAGCUGGUGCUCAACAGAAGCAAGUAGAGUCUUAUUCAAAAAAGAGUAAGGUGAACAGAGGAAGGACAGGCUAUGUCACUCCCCAUAGUGAAACAUCAUUCAGACACAAAGGGCAGUAAGCAGCAGAGAGAAAAGGAGAGCGUUUUUGCAGAGACAAAUAGGUGGUGAGCCCAGAAAAAAGUCUUGUUUUAAAACAUGACACAG